GACGAACGCUGGCGGCGUGCUUAACACAUGCAAGUCGAACGGGAAGUCCCGGCUUUGGGGGGGUGGUCUAGUUGCGAAGUGGUGAGUAACACUUGAGUAACCUGCACUUGACUGUGGGGUAACUUCAUAAAACUUGGUGUAAUACCGGAUAAGAGCUCCUGCUGCAGGGUGGGGGUUGGAAAGUUUCGGCGGUUGGGGGUGGAAUCGCGUCUUAUCAGCUUGUUGGUGGGGUAGUGGCUUAGCAAGGCUUUGACGGGUAGCCGGCCUGGGAGGGUGACCGGACCAAUCAGGCUUGAGAUGAGACACAGCCUAGUCUCGGACGCAGGAGUGGAGAGUAGUAUACAGUGGGGGGAAGGCAGACGCAGUCCAGCAGCGUGCGGGAUGAAGGGAUUCGGGUUGUAAACCGAUGCCGCCUGUGCCGAAGCGUGAGUGACGGUAACGGGUAAAGAAGCACCGGCUAACUACGUG
rnacentral:rRNA from 1 species